AGAGACUACAGAGGUCAUCAAGUUGACGCAUCAAUGUUUACAUGUGAACAAACAGACGCAUAAUAGCUCUUGAGCUUGCCAUUGGGAAGUGAAAAUCAACUGCUUGAAUAAAUGUAAGGACUCAGGUAGACAUCACCUUGUGACUCAACAGCAGCCAAUAAGAUGGAAAUAAAGGCCAUGAAGUUAUCGGAUGGCAUCUACAAGGAAUACUUAGAUGAGGAGGCUGGUCAAGUGAAGCAGCGGGAGUGGAGAAGGAACAUGAGGCCACCUUAUGUGACCAUCUCUCACAUUAGCCUUCUGCACUCACAGUUCCCUCCAUGCACAGCUGAAAAUGUUCUUCAGUUUAAAAACUGGGUGGCCGAGGCGGGCGGAUCACGAGGUCAGGAGUUCAAGACCAGCCUAGCCAACAUAGUGAAACCCUGUCUCUACUAAAAAUACAAAAACUUAGCUGGACAUGGUGGUGGGCGUCUGUAAUCCCAGCUACUUGGGAGGCUGAGACAGGAUAACUGCUUGAACCCGGGAAGUGGAGGUUGCAGUGAGCGGAGAUCGUGCCAUUGCACUCCAGCCUGGGCGACAGAGCAAGACUCCGUCAAGAAAAAACAAAACAAAACAAAAAACUCAUGUGAUUAGAUUGCACUUACCUAAAUAAGCAGGAUCAUUUCCCUAUCAUAAGGUUCUGAACCUUAAUCACAUCUGCAGAGUUCCUUUUGACAGGUAAGACAAUAUAUUCAUUUUCUGAAGAGUUAGAUCCAGGCAAGUUUGAGGGACUAUUAUUCUGCCUACCACACCCUCUCUAUAGAUUGUCCUAUCCCUCAUGGUGUCUGACUUCCUCCAAGAACUCCAAAGGAAAGGGAUUACAUUUUUUAUUUCUUCACUCCUGGAUGCUCCUUGGUCCUCAUGCAAAUCUGCCCACUGUGUCUCCAAAAGAAUUCCAACUAUGUAUUUCAGGGGAACCAAAUAUGAGAGCUGCAAGGAACUUUUCUUAAAAGCCUUUGACAUCUCCCCUUUCUGUCUUCUUUCUUCUUUCUCCUCUAGCUAACCUGAAACAGGUGUGAUGGUUACUUCCAGCCACUGUUGUGGACCAAGGGAAGGCAGAGCUCUGCCUAGUGUUAGGGAGGGAGAAUGUCUGAAGCAGCCUGAUCCCUGAUGUCCUUUAGGCUGUCAUACCGGACCUGUGCAGCAUCCAUCCAGACUUCUACCAUAUUAGAACCAAAUACACUUUUAUCUUAUUUAAACCACUCUUUGUUUUAAAUCUGUCUAUUAAUAGGAAGCCAAACUAAUCCUACCUGAUGCAAGAAAGAGAAUAGAAUUCUAAGAAACCCAUCUUCAUUGGCCAAUAAUUUUCACUUAGC
ensembl:lncRNA LINC00507 long intergenic non-protein coding RNA 507